ensembl:snoRNA small nucleolar RNA SNORA41
UCCCACAGCUACUGGCCUGAAACUGCUCUGUACUGUAGCAGUUGCAGUAUUCCAACUGUGGGAGAUUAGCAGUUACACUAUGCAAUGCUCCUUUCUCCACCAGGGAAGGGAAUUUCAGUGUAACAGACAGGA